UUGAUAUCAUGACUCUCGAAUUAUAUUAGGCGGUCCGGUGAGCCUAGCACUGGUGGGUGAAAAUUUUUAGAAAAAGAAAACUAAAAUAAAAAUAAAAAGAAACGAAAACACAACACGAAUCCUCUUUCCAUCUUCAGUUAACUCGGUAAACCCAUCUCCGGCAAAGAAGAACGAUAUCAGUGACGGCGCGUCACCAAUCUCCGGCGACACUACCAUUUUCUCCGUCAACUCACACACUUCUCUGAGGUAACACAAUUGACCCCUCUGAAAUCCUUCUAUUUUUUUUUCUUGCUGUUGUUGCUGGCCGAAGCUAUUAGGGUUUUUAGAAUUGGGUAUAUGCAUUAUCUAAUUUCAUAUUCAAUACAAUUUCUUUUCCAUUUGUUAUCACUGA
rnacentral:lncRNA from 1 species